UGCUUCAGUGGCAUUGUAAAUUUUGUCUCAUUUAGCUGGCCAUCAUAAUGAAUGUUAAGUGUUUACAACUUGACUUUGUUUUGCUUUCCUAAAUCCUAAGUACUUAACGAACAAUUGCCAAUGCCUCUUUCCCAGUUUCCAAAUGGCAAAAUAAAAAUAUUAAGAAGUUAUCAUUCUCCUUCUCAAUGAGUAAUUACAAGUAAUUCAUUUUGUGCUCCCCAAUGUUUGAAAAGUUGGAACUAAACUGUUACUUGAUUUUUGCAUCAAACUUGUAGGUAUUCCAAUUUCCAAAAUUAGUUGGACAUUCAGAUGUGCCCUUGGUUGUGAGCAUGUAAUGGAGUUCAAGAAUCAAGAAAGAUUCCAGAAACAGGAACUACAAUUAUACCAGGAUCUAUGUAGAAUCCAUAGGACAGAGCAGGGAAUAACUCCAAGGGGGUAGGUCAGUUGGUAAAUACCAACUCUUCACAAUAAAGAGGUCAAGAGUUCAACUCUUCUUGGGGCCGUUCCUAAAAAAAAAAAAAAAAAAAAAAGGACAGAGCAGGGGCUGAAUAGAUAUAACAGAAAAAUAAAUACUUUAGAGAAACCCAAAAACAGAUAUAUGUAGAAUCAAUAGGACAGCAGGAACUGAAUAGAUAUAACAGAAAAAUAGAUACUGUAGAGAAACCCAAAAACAGAGCAAGAAAUUCUGCCCAGCAAUUCCAAGCUAGAAAACUAGAAAGCAACUAAGAAUUUAAGAUAUCAGUAAGAGAAUCUUAAAUAUUAAUAUUGGAUGAAGCAGAACUAGAAUGAGGAAGACGACCGAAUCUAAUAAUCUGAAAAUUGAACCAGAAAUAGGGUUUCCACCUGGUGUAGAAUCAUGAGAAUAAAAAGUAAGAAGAAGAAGUAGAAGAGAAGAGGGAAAGAUCAGAGAAAUAGGGGUUCCAUCUUGUACUACUGCUUUAACAAUGUGUACAUCAACCUCUGUAAUGUAGUCCUCCACAUCAACAGCCUCUAAUCAUUAGUCAUCCAUCUUAAACUCUUCGAGAAUUGCCGCUUCAUUAUCAUUGUAGGCUUCUUUGAUUUUUUCAUCUUUAUCUUCAAAUGUAGGCCUUAGCUCUUGAAGUAAAGGAAAAUCUUCUACCUUGCAAAGAACUUGAUUUUCACCUUGAAUAAUUGAUUCCUCUAUGAUUGCUGUCUCCUUGCCUUCACAAUUCUCCUUUACUGGCUCAUCCAAAGUGAUAAGCUUUUUCACUUUAACUAUUUCAUUCAUUUCUUCCUUUGACAGUGCAAAGUGGAGCUCAAUCUAUGUUUUAACGUUGUUGGUGCCUGACUUCCAGCAAUCCUCAACUUGUGAAACAAAUUUCAUUGAUGGAUGCUUUAAAUUGUCCUAAGCUUUGAAGGCCUUUUGGUGGUAAUUUGUUGAGUGGAGAACUUCCUUGGAUAUGUUUUGGUAGGUACUUUUCCUUCAGUUCUUAUUUCAUCUCCUCCCAUGUAGUGGGUACUCCACUACGUCUCUCAAGAUUCCUUUCAUAAGUUCUCCACCAUGCACAUAUAAAAUCCUCAACUUGUGAAACAAAUUUCAUUGAUGGAUGCUUUAAAUUGUCCUAAGCUUUGAAGGCCUUUUGGUGGUAAUUUGUUGAGUGGAGAACUUCCUUGGAUAUGUUUUGACUCGGCUGGACUGUCGGAAUUUGUGGACCUCUGAUUGUGGUUGUUUGCUAUAGAAUGUGCGGGAUACCUUGCCUCACCUUCAGUUGGUGCAUAAUUGCUUGGUAUAGGUGAGGAUUUUUGUUCUCCAUUGCCAUCAACCUUUCAUUCAUACUCUUCUGAUACCAUUGCCAUCAACUACUCCUCUGAUUUUCAUUCAAACUUUUCUGAUCGGAAGUUAAUCGUUGUUACAUAUUCAUAGGAUCAGGUGGGUCAGGAUUUCUAGAACUACUCUCUGCCAGAGCUUUGAUAUCACUUGAUGUAAUACUGUAAUUUAAUAAUCAAAAUAGUAUCAAAUAGAAUCGAAUCCCAUAGAGUAUAAAACCAGAUUAGGGAGAAAUCACAUGUCAAAAUCAAGAACUCAGUUGGCCACUAAACUCAGGUCGAGUUCAGCAUACAAGGGGGAGAACAAUUACUGAAAUUCUUAACUAAGUCUGAGGGUUGGAUAAGAAGUUAUGAGUCAAUCCUUGUAGCGCUAGGAGAGGGGUAUAUCAGUAAAUUCACCACUCAAAAAAUAUGAGCCACACCGUUGUAAGGAUCAGAGAAUUAUCUGAACUUGGAGAUCUGCCUAGAGAAAGGCACCAGAAUAGGAACCACAGGCUUCGAACAGCACUCAAUUCACAGCAGAAGCAGAGUGAUGAUGAUCUUCAACAGGGUUUCAAUCAGCUCCCGAAAAGGAAUAAAGAUCACUUAGAAAACUACAAAAUAAAAAAGGAGAAAGAAGGGAAAACGAUGGAGGGGAAGAAAGGAGAAGAAGAAAGACAAACAGGAUUGAGCAUCUCACCCCUCACAGGUAUGGGUAUCUCAUAGCCAUGAUCAAAACUGACCAACACAUCUUUUCUCAAAACGCAAUCGUGGGCUGUGUUCAGCCUUGUGCUUUAUUUAUAAAAUUGAUUAUCAAUUACAAUCUAAUUGAUUGAACUAGAACUUUCCCUUUACAAAUCCAAAUCAAAAUAAUUCUCCUAUUGCUAAUUGGAAAAUAGCCUAUUAUGUGUAUUACAAGAAAAUUGGAAAGAACUGAACUAAAAAUGCAAAUGUGAUGACCCAAAUCGAUUCCUUGGGGAGUAAGGAUCCAACAGUUACCAAUUAGUCUACCAAUAAUCUCCUAAAAAUAAAAUUACAUGCAAAUAGUAGCUGGAUCCCAAAAAUAUGUAAACUCCUCCACUGAUUCCUCCCCAUGCAAGUCAUCUAUCCGCCCCUAAAAUUCCCCAAUGCCAUGGCCAGAAUGGGGCUCACAAUAUCUGAAAAAUCUUCCACAAUUUCUUCAUCCACACAAGCUGUCCUUGGGUCCCUUAUGAUAUGGUCCCUUGAACCAAUCAAGAACCCAAACCUGACCAGGCUGUCUCCCACAGCAGCUGAAUCCCAUAGUGAUUCUGGACUGGUUUUGGGGCCUUGUUCGUGCGGUACUUGGGAUCUACAUCAAGGGGCAGAAUUGGAAUAGUGAAAUAACUUUAGAUCAGGGAGAAUUUCUGAUCGAGUGCAUUCUUUAGGUUUUAGAACAAUCUAUCAAAAGAUGAGGGUAAUCUGAUGGCCAAAUGGGCAGAUUUCCUCAACUGUAGUACGUGCAAAAAAACACUUGCAUAUGAAUUCCAGAUCAGGCUAGGAAUUGCAGAAAAUUAUGAAGACCACUUCAUUAAUGGAGAAGAAGAAGAAUAACAAUGAGGGAUUCUUCAUGCAAGGAGGAUUGCAGCAAAGACAGUUUUUCAUUAAUCAAAAUUCAUGUACAAUGCUUGGGCCCUUACAAACUUAUAUAAAAAAACUCAAAAACAGACACAAAACACUAAGAAAAAGCUUAACUCAAUCCUUAAAUAAUUUGGUAACGUAAACUGACUAGGAAACUGAAAUAAUAUCGGAAACCGAGUCAAAACAGGACUGGACUCAUAGAAUAUUUAUCUAGCCCUAACUAAAACACUUAAUAAUAAUUAAAUAAAGAAAUAAAGACACUUAUCUAACUAAUCCCAAAUGCCUAGCCUUUCGGCCCUCUCCCCAUAUUAUAGGCUCAUUACAUUGAAAACACAUGCAUAACCCAACCCAAGGCUUAUUUUUACUAAAAUAAGCCCAUUUAGGUGAUUUAUCUGCAUCAGAUCUUCUAUCAUUGGAUCACAUUGUUGUGUCUCUAAAAUUGGCUUGGAAUAUUAUAGGUAGCAAACUAUCCUUGGCUUUCUACGUCCUUUUUUUAGCAUACUUUACUUUAUUUCCCUUUGAAGCUGUUUCAUACUCUUUGGCUCUCUGCCAGGUAAUUCUGUAACACUUCCACCAAAUUGAUUAUAUGUUGGAUCAAUUGCUUAUCUAUGAUGCAUGGAGGCACAUGGGUUUGGCUCUGAUACCAAGCAGUUGAAAGUUCCAGAAAGAUUCCAGAAACAAGAACUACAAUUAUAACAGGACCCUAUGUCAGAUCAAUAGGAUUGACCAGGGACUGAAGAGAUAUAACAGAAAAAUAGAUAAUAUAAAGAAACCAAAAAUAGAACAAGUUAGAAAGCAUUCUCAGAAUUUAAGGCCACUUAAUAGAUUAUUAAUGUUGGAUGAAACAAAACUAGAAUAGGGAAGAUUAUCAAGUCUAGAAAUCUGAAAAUUGGACCAGAAACAGGGGUUCCACCUGGUGUGGCAUCAAGAGAAAUAGGAAGUAAGAAGUAUAAGAAUAAGAAUAGAAGAAGAGAAGAGGGUAAGUUUACACCUGCUAAGGGCAGAUCAUAAUAAUAAUAAGAAGAAGGAAAUAGGUCGGUCUAGCAUACCAGUCUUGAAUGCACAAUUUACAGCUCCAAGAUUCUUAAAAAACUUCAAUUCUAUUAUUCAAAUCACAUCCAACUAAUUGGGGUGUAUUCAUAUAUAACCAUUUAAAUUUCCUGAACUGACUUAUAAAAUGACUUCUAAUCACUCUCUUGUACUGAAUUAAAGUAAAUAGACUCAAAAUAAAUCUUAAAAGCUAGUAAUUAUCCUAAAUGCCUAAUGUAAUUCAAACACUUAACUAUGAAUCCGGUACUGAAUUUACCUCCACUUUAUGGGCUUAUAAAUUAGAUCCAUUGCAAUGAAACCCAAGAAAAUAAAAGGCACAACCUCUAAUACGACUACCCACAACUCAAUUUCAGCACAUUCAAGUGCCACAUGCCCUUUUGUGGGCCUUCUAGUGUCUGAUCCUCCAUAUGGGAUCAUAGUUUGAUGCAACUGCAUCAGAAUGUUACAUAUAUGCAAGUAGGAAAUGGAUGAGAGAGAUUCAAACUGUACUUGUAUCAAUAGAGUUUGGAUUCUAAGUUUUAACUUAAGGUAAACUUGAUCCAGAACCCACUCUUCCUCUCUGUUGUACAUUCUUUCUGUUUUUGCUACUUCUUUUCCUUGCCCAUUGUUAUUUUCAAUCUUUUGCUUAUUGAUGUUAAGUUAGUUUGGUGCAUCUAAUUGGUUUAUAAUCAACCUAGACAAAUCAAAUUUGGAAAUCCAACAAAUCACAGUCAGGUUGAUUAUGAUUAUUCAAAAGAUGAUUUAAUAUUCAAUAAAUGGCUGAAAUUUCGUUAGUUUAAUUGCCAUUCUACAAUUUUUUAACUCUGUGGAGGAUUUUGGGAGGGAGGGGGGUAACAUUGCUAUCAUAGUAAUCCUUUCAGUGUUAAACUAUCCAUCUAGCUGUUUACUCUUAAGUUGCUUCCCUACCAGUCUUUGGAGGUGUCAGUGGUUAUGGUGUAUUGGACAAUAUUGAGCUGGUUAUGCCUUUGAAUUUUACCAACUGAACGGAACAUAAAAUUUAUCAUUGGUUUGAAAAA